UGCCCAGUAACUCCUAUCCCUACCUCCUCGUGGUACUGGCCGGGGUACCAGUAACCAACUCCGGUGGGAACUCUGGUCGUAUGCUGACAGGGAAGG
rnacentral:ribozyme from 1 species